rnacentral:rRNA from 1 species
AUUGAACGCUGGCGGCAGGCCUAACACAUGCAAGUCGAACGGAAACGAAGCUAGCUUGCUAGCAGGCGUCGAGUGGCGGACGGGUGAGUAACGCGUGGGUAUUUACCAAGUAGUGGGGGAUAAGCUGGGGAAACCCAGUCUAAUACCGCAUACGCUCUACGGAGGAAAGGGGCCCUCUUCUUGAAAGGUCUCGCUAUUUGAUGAGCCCGCGUCGGAUUAGCUUGUUGGUGAGGUAAAGGCUCACCAAGGCGACGAUCCGUAGCUGGUCUGAGAGGAUGAUCAGCCACACUGGGACUGAGACACGGCCCAGACUCCUACGGGAGGCAGCAGUGGGGAAUAUUGGACAAUGGAGGAAACUCUGAUCCAGCCAUGCCGCGUGUGUGAAGAAGGCCUUAGGGUUGUAAAGCACUUUCAGCGGGGAGGAAACGCCAUGGGUUAAUACCCUAUGGCUAUGACGUUACCCGCAGAAGAAGCACCGGCUAAUUUCGUGCCAGCAGCCGCGGUAAUACGAAAGGUGCGAGCGUUAAUCGGAAUUACUGGGCGUAAAGCGUACGUAGGCGGUUGUUUAAGCAGGAUGUGAAAGCCCCGAGCUCAACUUGGGAACUGCAUUCUGAACUGAAUAACUAGAGUACAGCAGAGGAGAGUGGAAUUUCUCGUGUAGCGGUGAAAUGCGUAGAUAUGAGAAGGAACACCAGUGGCGAAGGCGACUCUCUGGGUUGAUACUGACGC